CGCCACGGUGACUUGCAAGCAAGUCACUGUAUUUAGGCACUGGACUACCUGAAUUUCUAAUUUAGUGACGGAAGGAUGCUGGGUGUAGUCAAGUACUUGACUUGUCGGUUUGUGUGUCAAGAUGGGAUUGACCACUCUAGUUCAGGAGCUGUGUACAGUCAUAUUUCAAUUUAGCAAAACCUUGGCCAGGGUAGUCCUAGUGAGGAGUCACAGGACUGUUUGAGUUGAGCACGAUUCAGAUGAUCUAAUUAGGGUUGACAGUUUAAUCCUGAGUCAUCCUAAACACAGGGAUCAAAAUGGAUGAAUUAUAUAGUAACC
rnacentral:lncRNA from 1 species